rnacentral:rRNA from 1 species
GAUGAACGCUGGCGGCGUGCCUAAUACAUGCAAGUCGAGCGAAUGGAUUAAGAGCUUGCUCUUAUGAAGUUAGCGGCGGACGGGUGAGUAACACGUGGGUAACCUGCCCAUAAGACUGGGAUAACUCCGGGAAACCGGGGCUAAUACUGGAUAACAUUUUGAACCGCAUGGUUCGAAAUUGAAUGGCGGCUUCGGCUGUCACUUAUGGAUGGACCCGCGUCGCAUUAGCUAGUUGGUGAGGUAACGGCUCACCAAGGCAACGAUGCGUAGCCGACCUGAGAGGGUGAUCGGCCACACUGGGACUGAGACACGGCCCAGACUCCUACGGGAGGCAGCAGUAGGGAAUCUUCCGCAAUGGACGAAAGUCUGACGGAGCAACGCCGCGUGAGUGAUGAAGGCUUUCGGGUCGUAAAACUCUGUUGUUAGGGAAGAACAAGUGCUAGUUGAAUAAGCUGACACCUUGACGGUACCUAACCAGAAAGCCACGGCUAACUACGUGCCAGCCGCCGCGGUAA